UGGUCAUUGGGGUCCACGCUGAUGGUGUGGUUGAUGAUGAUGGGAUCUGGGUGCUGCAGGAGCCCCGCUAACUUCAUGGGGAUCUCAGAGAAGCGCAUACGGACACAGUUGAAGAUCUGGCGGAAGUAGCGGUUGCAGUUGAUGUACUCCUUCUCAUGACUGUCCUGCAGCUUGUUGUGCUUGAUGUAAAGCCAGAGCGCCUGCAUGAUGCUGGCACGGGUCUGGGUGUGCACCCCCAGCAGGCGAGCCAGGCGAGGGUCCAGUUUGUAUUGUGGUGGCUGGUGAUCCAGCAUCAGCAGCAGGGUGCACU
rnacentral:lncRNA from 1 species